AUAUUUACUUGGCAGUGGAAACAUGAUCAUAAAGGUGGUUUUCCCAGGGGGAGGCGCAUCCAUUGCAUUCCAGGUGUGCUGACCCUUGCAAUUUCCCCAAAUGCAGGAAACUCAACUGUAUAAUUUGUGGUAGUGAAGAACUACAUUCACGCUUUCCCUUG
rnacentral:snRNA from 1 species